rnacentral:rRNA from 1 species
CGUAGGGUGCAAGCGUUAAUCGGAAUUACUGGGCGUAAAGCGUGCGCAGGCGGUUUUGUAAGUCUGUCGUGAAAUCCCCGGGCUUAACCUGGGAAUGGCGAUGGAGACUGCAAGGCUAGAAUCUGGCAGAGGGGGGUAGAAUUCCACGUGUAGCAGUGAAAUGCGUAGAGAUGUGGAGGAACACCGAUGGCGAAGGCAGCCCCCUGGGUCAAGAUUGACGCUCAUGCACGAAAGCGUGGGGAGCAAACAGG